GGGCCGCCCCACAGGGCUGCUGCUACCGCCGCGCUGGGCUCCGUGCCCGCCAGCACCGAGCCGGCCCCGGCGCGGGACGCGAGCAGCUCCCCUAGGUAACGGUACAUGGUGGCAGCUGCAGCGGGGCCAGGAGGCAGAGUCGGGGCUGCUCUAGCGCUGCGCGGCCGAUGGCACAACAGAGGCGGCCUGGCUCCGCCGCCGCCUUUAAAUGGCCCCGCGGGGCGAGGCCGGAGGGGCGGCUCGGGUCACACAACACCUCCCUGCCGCGCGUGCGCACACGCCGCGCCCGGAACCCCUCCGCCCUCUUGGCUCCGCCGUGAGGAGCUGGGCGCGGUGCCGGCCUUCAGCCCGUCUCCCGGAAGGCCCGAGAGUAACAUAUGGAGGACAUCAGAAGACUCUCCUUUCAGUUAAACUGGUAAAAGAUCACUAGGAUGGUUUUAAAGAGACCAGAUUGUCCCACUGAUGUCCUCAUCAAGAUUUGUCAAGGACUGGUGGACACACAAUUAUUCGAUGGACACUAUCUCAAAAUCACA
rnacentral:lncRNA from 1 species